rnacentral:rRNA from 1 species
UACGGGUGGCUGCAGUGGGGAAUAUUGGACAAUGGGCGAAAGCCUGAUCCAGCCAUGCCGCGUGUGUGAAGAAGGCCUUCGGGUUGUAAAGCACUUUCAGUGGGGAAGAAAGCCUUGGGGCUAAUACCCUCGAGGAAGGACAUCACCCACAGAAGAAGCACCGGCUAACUCCGUGCCAGCAGCCGCGGUAAUACGGAGGGUGCGAGCGUUAAUCGGAAUUACUGGGCGUAAAGCGCGCGUAGGCGGUCUGAUAAGCCGGUUGUGAAAGCCCCGGGCUCAACCUGGGAACGGCAUCCGGAACUGUCAGGCUAGAGUGCAGGAGAGGAAGGUAGAAUUCCCGGUGUAGCGGUGAAAUGCGUAGAGAUCGGGAGGAAUACCAGUGGCGAAGGCGGCCUUCUGGACUGACACUGACGCUGAGGUGCGAAAGCGUGGGUAGCAAACAGGAUUAGAUACCCUAGUAGUC